GAGGGUAUAGCUCAGUGGUAGAGUGAGUGCUUAGCAUGCAUGAGAUUGGGUUCAAUCCCCAGUGCCUUCA
rnacentral:tRNA from 1 species